AUACGUAGGUGACAAGCGUUAUCCGGAUUUACUGGGCGUAAAGGGCGUGUAGGCGGUCUUGCAAGUCAGAAGUGAAAUUCCUGAGCUCAACUCGGGCGCUGCUUCUGAAACUGCAGGACUUGAGUGCUGGAGGGGAUAGCGGAAUUCCUAGUGGAGCGGUAAAAUGCGCAGAUAUUAGGAAGAACACCGGUGGCGAAGGCGGCUUACUGGGCCGUUACUGACGCUGAGGCACGAAAGCGUGGGGAGCAAACAGGAUUAGAUACCCUGGUAGUCCACGCUGUAAACGAUGAUUACUGGUUGUUAGCGAUAUAUAGCUAGUGACUGAGCGAAAGCAUUAAGUAAUCCACCUGGGGAGUACGGUC
rnacentral:rRNA from 1 species